CUACGGGCUGCUGCAGUGGGGAAUAUUGCACAAUGGGCGCAAGCCUGAUGCAGCAACGCCGUGUGAGUGAUGAAGGUCUUCGGAUUGUAAAACUCUGUCCUAUGGGAAGAAAAAAAUGACGGUACCAUAGGAGGAAGCCCCGGCUAACUACGUGCCAGCAGCCGCGGUAAUACGUAGGGGGCAAGCGUUAUCCGGAAUCACUGGGCGUAAAGGGUGCGUAGGCGGCCUAUCAAGUCAGAGGUGAAAGGCAUUGGCUCAACCAAUGUAAGCCUUUGAAACUGUUAGGCUUGAGUGCAGGAGAGGUAAGUGGAAUUCCUAGUGUAGAGGUGAAAUUCGUAGAUAUUAGGAGGAACACCAGUGGCGAAGGCGACUUACUGGACUGUAACUGACGCUGAGGCACGAAAGCGUGGGGAGCGAACAGGAUUAGAUACCCUAGUAGUC
rnacentral:rRNA from 1 species